rnacentral:rRNA from 1 species
UACAGGGGGGGCAAGCGUUGUUCGGAAUUACUGGGCGUAAAGGGCUCGUAGGCGGCCAACUAAGUCAGACGUGAAAUCCCCAGGCUCAACCUGGGAACUGCGUCCGAUACUGGUAGGCUUGAAUCCGGGAGAGGGAUGUGGAAUUCCAGGUGUAGCGGUGAAAUGCGUAGAUAUCUGGAGGAACACCAGUAGCGAAGGCGGCUCGCUGGGCCAUACCUGACGCUGAGACGCGAAAGCGUGGGGAGCAAACAGG